UGUGGCUCAGUGGUAGAGUUCUUGCCUAGCAUGUAUGAGGCACUGGGUUCGAUUCUCAGCA
rnacentral:tRNA from 1 species